rnacentral:rRNA from 1 species
GACAGAGGGUGCAAACGUUGUUCGGAAUUACUGGGCGUAAAGCGUGUGUAGGCGGCUACGUAAGUCGGAUGUGAAAGCCCGGGGCUCAACCUCGGAAGUGCACCCGAAACUGCAUAGCUUGAGAAUCGGAGAGGUUGGUGGAAUUCUCGGUGUAGAGGUGAAAUUCGUAGAUAUCGAGAGGAACAUCGGUGGCGAAGGCGGCCAACUGGACGAAUUCUGACGCUGAGACACGAAAGCGUGGGGAGCAAACAGG